rnacentral:tRNA from 1 species
AGGAAGUUAAAAAUAAUGGCUGCUAACUAUUAUUAGGGUAAUUUAUUUAUCCACUUCUUU